GACGAACGCUGGCGGCGUGCUUAACACAUGCAAGUCGAACGGAAAGACGCUGCUUUUGUGGGGCGCUCGAGUGCCGAACGGGUGUGUAACACGUGAGUAACCUGCCCUUGACUUUGGGAUAACUUCAGGAGACUGGGGCUAAUAUCGGAUAGGAGAUCCUGCUGCAUGUUGGGGGUUGGACAGUUUCGGCGGUUGGGGAUGGACUCGCGGCUUAUCAGCUUGUUGGUCGGGUAGUGGCUUACCAAGCCUAUGACGGGUAGGAGGCAUGCGAGGGUGACCGGCCACAUGGGGACUAAGGUACGCCCCAGUAUCGACAGAGAGGCAACAGUGGAGAGUAUUGCAAAGUAACCUGACGCGUGAUGUAGCGGCCUCGCGUGCGGAAUAACGGGCUUCUGGGGAUAAACCGCUUUCGCCUGAAACGAACCGUGAUUGACGGUAACGGGUCAGGAAGCACCGGCUAACUACGUG
rnacentral:rRNA from 1 species